GCAUAUCAAUAAGCGGAGGAAAAGAAACCAACCGGGAUUGCCUUAGUAACGGCGAGUGAAGCGGCAAAAGCUCAAAUUUGAAAUCUGGUACCUUCGGUGCCCGAGUUGUAAUUUGGAGAGGGCAACUUUGGGGCCGUUCCUUGUCUAUGUUCCUUGGAACAGGACGUCAUAGAGGGUGAGAAUCCCGUGUGGCGAGGAGUGCGGUUCUUUGUAAAGUGCCUUCGAAGAGUCGAGUUGUUUGGGAAUGCAGCUCUAAGUGGGUGGUAAAUUCCAUCUAAAGCUAAAUAUUGGCGAGAGACCGAUAGCGAACAAGUACAGUGAUGGAAAGAUGAAAAGAACUUUGAAAAGAGAGUGAAAAAGUACGUGAAAUUGUUGAAAGGGAAGGGCAUUUGAUCAGACAUGGUGUUUUGUGCCCUCUGCUCCUUGUGGGUAGGGGAAUCUCGCAUUUCACUGGGCCAGCAUCAGUUUUGGUGGCAGGAUAAAUCCAUAGGAAUGUAGCUUGCCUCGGUAAGUAUUAUAGCCUGUGGGAAUACUGCCAGCUGGGACUGAGGACUGCGACGUAAGUCAAGGAUGCUGGCAUAAUGGUUAUAUGCCGCCCGUCUUGAAACACGGACCA
rnacentral:rRNA from 2 species